rnacentral:rRNA from 1 species
ACGCGCGGAACCUUACCAGGUCUUGACAUCCUCUGACACUCCUAGAGAUAGGACGUUCCCCUUCGGGGGACAGAGUGACAGGUGGUGCAUGGUUGUCGUCAGCUCGUGUCGUGAGAUGUUGGGUUAAGUCCCGCAACGAGCGCAACCCUUGAUCUUAGUUGCCAGCAUUUAGUUGGGCACUCUAAGGAGACUGCCGGUGACAAACCGGAGGAAGGUGGGGAUGACGUCAAAUCAUCAUGCCCCUUAUGACCUGGGCUACACACGUGCUACAAUGGACGGUACAAACGGUUGCCAACCCGCGAGGGGGAGCUAAUCCGAUAAAACCGUUCUCAGUUCGGAUUGUAGGCUGCAACUCGCCUACAUGGAGCCGGAAUCGCUAGUAAUCGCGGAUCAGCAUGCCGCGGUGAAUACGUUCCCGGGCCUUGCACACACCGCCCGU